rnacentral:lncRNA from 1 species
CCCUCUUCCUCAAAAACUCAAAUUCCCCACUCAUCUCCCCCCUUUCCCUCCUAACCUAAUCAACCAUCUUCCUCAAAAACCCGAAUUCCCCUCUCAUCUCCUCCUUUCCCUCUUAACCUAACCCGAAUUCAUUUUCUCACAAAAUUACAUUCACAUCAACUGAAAGAAAAUAACUCAAUGGCUACUCUACUAUGAUCGAUGCCGUCAAAUCCUAUGGCUCAAACCUACUUGCUCUGUGCGCCGACGGAUAUCUUCGGUUUUUAAACUCAUUAGAGAUAGUGACCCAUGAAAUCCCGCAAGAGAUUCUGAUUUCAUAUAAUAUCUUCCGUAAAACGAUGAUCGAUUCAAAGACUUUUUUAGGGUUUUAGGAUCUUCCCCAAAUCUAUAUAUAGGUUUUGAAUGGAUAUCAAAUCAGAAGGUUCUACCAAAAGCUGUUUGAUUUGUUGAAUCUACAAGCUGAUAUGGAAAAGCGGAAGCAUAAGCUCAAGCGUCUCGUUCAAUUUCCAAUUCAUUUUUCAUGAUUCAUGGUUGAGAAUUGGAAUUAUCAGGAUAUUCAACUGCAUAAACCACCCUGUUCUUGACACUAUUCCAGUACUUGUAAUAGAAAAGUUGCUGAUAUAUAAUGGCGAUGAUAGUGCGAUACAACCAAAAUAGCAUCAGGUCACACCAUCUUUCUGGUAUGUGAUAGUAUCUAGAAAAUAGUCAAAAUAUACAAGAUAUAAUUCGGACCCUAUCUUUUACUAGAAGGUUUUCAGGUGGUUGAGGGCUCUUCAAGGUCCCUCACCUAGAUUGAAGUCCAGGGCGUGGACGAAGUACUAAUUGAAGAUUGAAGUGGUUAUGGAGGGCGGUGUGGUGAUGGUAUUUGAUGUGGGCUCUUCAAGGUCCCUCAUCUACAUUGAAGUCCAGGGGCGUGGACGAAGUACUAUUUGAAGAUUGAAGUGGUUACGGAGGGCAGUGUGGUGAUGGUGUUUGAUGUGGAACUGGUGGUUCAGCCGUGGAAGCAUUCAAAGGAGUUGUUAGGGUUCAAAUCAGUACAUGUGAAUAAGCAGAUGUCAGUCAAAUGUCAAGCCGAUUUACAUCAGAAUCUCGUGUAUACGCUGAUAAAGCAAAAGAUCUAAACUGCCAGUGAUAUCAUUUGAUCAUACGACAUGAGAAUUAGCCACCGGUUACAAGUUUACUCACCACCACGACACGGCAACAACAAGGUGGCCAACAACCAAUGGAUGCAAAUUUGCAGCACUUUCAAGUCCAAACGCAGUGAGUAUCGACUCGAAGAAAACAUCUUAGAAAUAGUUCUUAGUUUAUGUGUAUAGUCGUUUCCCUUUGUAACUUUUGUAGAUAUGUUUUGAUGAUAAGUUUAUGUUAUUAAUUAGUAUUUAGACCGAAAACUUAUGUAUGGAUUUGGGUUAUUAUUGUUAAUAUCAUUUGUUUU